rnacentral:rRNA from 1 species
GGUUCGUUUUCUCAUGCGUACUGGAUCAAGCGAUGCCGCGUGAGUGAAGAAGGCCUUCGGGUUGUAAAGCUCUUUUGUUGGGAAAGAAAUCCACCUGGUUAAUACCCGGGGGUCCUGACGGUACCGGAAGAAUAAGCACCGGUUAACUUCGG